CACGUAGGGGCCAAGCGUUGUCCGGAUUUACUGGGCGUAAAGAGCUCGUAGGUGGUUUGUCGCGUUGUUCGUGAAAACUCACAGCUUAACUGUGGGCGUGCGGGCGAUACGGGCAGACUGGAGUACUGCAGGGGAGACUGGAAUUCCCGGUGUAGCGGUGAAAUGCGUAGAUAUCUGGAGGAACACCGGUGGCGAAGGCGGCAUCCUGGACCAGCACUGACACUGAUGAGCGAAAGCCAGGGGAGCAAACGGG
rnacentral:rRNA from 1 species